rnacentral:lncRNA from 10 species
CCAACAAAUGCCUUCGGUUUGUCUGAAAAAGACUUUAACUUUUCUUCAAUACUAAGGUACUGGAGGUUUCUAUCAAGAUAUCUUUAAGCCCACUGAUUCUUUCCUUGGCCAUGUCUGAUUUACAGGUGAUAGGUAAUGAAGAUCUUCACCGGAAUUGGCCUCUUGAUCUUGGACUUUCCAGCCUCCAGAACUGCAAGCCAAAUAAACAUAUUGUGUAUAAAUCAUCCAAUCUGUGGUAUUCUGUUAUAACAGCAAAAAGUGAACUGAGACAGUUUAUUCUUUAGGAGUGGCCUGUAAGUGGUUUCAUAAGAGGAGAAAGAUACCUGAAUUCACUGUAUAAGUCCUCUCACCAUGUGAUGCACUGUACCACCUCAGGACUCUGCAGAAAGUUCCCACAACCCAGAAGAAUCUUACCAGAUGUGGUCUCUCAACUUCAGAGUUCUCACCCUAUAUAACUACCACAGAUCUCACAGGUGGUCUCAUUGCUGAAGUCCCUUUAAGAGUACCUGGAAAUAACGAACCCAAAUGGCCAUCAAUGAUAGACUGGAUUAAGAAAAUGUGGCAC